rnacentral:lncRNA from 10 species
GCCGCAGAUUCGACACAAAACCCGGAAGGACCCCGCCGAAGGUUUUCUCCGGUUCGGGAGAGAGACGGAGUCCCGCUCUGUCACGCAGGCUGCCAGGCUGGCGUACAGUGGCGCAAUCUCAGCUCGCUGCAACCUCCACCUCCUGGGUUCAAGCGAUUUUCUUGCCUCUGCCUCCUGAGUAGCUGGGAUUACUGGCACACACCACCAUGCACAGUUCCUUGUUCAAAAUGCCAAGAACCUGGAUGACUCAUAGUCAAGACCCUCCACCAGUAACAUAUAUUGGCGAGCCAGCCAGGAGACCACUACAGGAAACACUCCAUUUAUUCCACCUGACUUCCCACUUGGCUGCAUCCUCAACCAUUGAAAUGAAUUUGACCCUGAUAAUCUAAGGAGGAAACAUUUGAUAUUCUUUUGCAAUAAUACUUGGCCCCAGUAUUGUUUGGAAUCUGGAGUUUGCUGUUGAAUGGGAAAGCAGGAUGACGUUGCAUGUAUCCAGGCUUUGGUGCUGCUGUCCUAAGAAGGGUCAGGCCUAGUCAGCAUAUGGUGCUCUCCUUUGGUGCUAUUUGGCUCCAGUGUCUUUGGAGUCUGAGGAGGUUUGGCCUUUAAAAAUCAAACUGCCACCGGAACUGCUUUAAAAAUGUUUGGUUCACAGCCUUCACUGGAUUACCUAUUGGAGCAAACAAAGUGUAACCAUGUAAAACCUGUGAGCUUGUAUUGAUAUCUCAUGGCUAGAGUUCCAAGGUAAAAGCUAUUGGAUCUUCGUUUGUGUGUGUGUAUACAUGUCUAGAUGUGUUUAUUUGUAUGUACACUUAUUGUUAUAUGUUGUGUCAACCAAAUCAGCUUAUAAAUAAAAAAGCACUCAUAAAUUAAAUAAAUAAGUCCAAGCAAUUU